GGCCAGACUCCUACGGGAGGCAGCAGUGGGGAAUAUUGCACAAUGGGGGAAACCCUGAUGCAGCAACGCCGCGUGAGUGAAGAAGUAUUUCGGUAUGUAAAGCUCUAUCAGCAGGGAAGAGAAUGACGGUACCUGACUAAGAAGCCCCGGCUAACUACGUGCCAGCAGCCGCGGUAAUACGUAGGGGGCGAGCGUUAUCCGGAUUUACUGGGUGUAAAGGGGGCGCAGACGGCGAUGCAAGCCAGGAGUGAAAGCCCGGGGCCCAACCCCGGGACUGCUCUUGGAACUGCGUGGCUGGAGUGCAGGAGGGGGAGGCGGAAUUCCUGGUGUAGCGGUGAAAUGCGUAGAUAUCAGGAGGAACACCGGUGGCGAAGGCGGCCUGCUGGACUGCAACUGACGUUGAGGCCCGAAAGCGUGGGGAGCAAACAGGAUUAGAUACCCGGGUAAU
rnacentral:rRNA from 1 species